GUCACCACCAAAAUCUGCAGGCACUCAGCAUGUCACGCCAAGUAUUUGCUUUCACUCAGCGUGUCACCACAAUUGGGGUGUGCCGUGUCACCCCACAAUACUGCAAGAAGUCAGCGUGUCACCACAGAAAUCUGCAUGCACUUAGUGUGUCACGUCAAGUAUCUGCUUCCACUCAACGUGUCACCACAAGAUGUCAUUGACAUCUACCAAUUACAGCCUAAUCUCAACCCCCACACCAGAUGAUCAAAAAUGCCACGUGGCAUUUCUUUUAUUAGCUUAGCAUGAUAUAUUUUUUCG
rnacentral:lncRNA from 1 species